UUCAGGUGGGAGUCCUCUCAUGUUCAGGCUUAUCAGCGAGUGUCAAUAGGAGGCUCGUGGUGUUUUUGUUUUAGGUGGCAGUGAACGUGGGUAGAGAAUCCCUUUCCGUUUUCCCUUACAUCCGCUCCGGAGCACCUCCGUGGUUAUUGGGGGGGCGCCAGUUUCUGGUUGUCUUUUCCACCCCACUGGUUUUGUGCAUAAAACCCCCACCACAUGUGACUGCACGAAGACCAGGGCCAGUUGUUUUUGGAGGAUAGUGGGGUGUGGCUCCUGUCCUUGAACCCAGACUGACAGCAGAGAGAGUAUGGAACCAGCAGAGAGGGGGGGAAACUAUAUCUGGAAGAAGGCCACCGAGACAGAGGAGCUAUCCAUGAAGAACCACUAAGACGGUUCUCAAACAGCUUAAAGUUAAACACAACAAGUCUACUGCGUUCCAUGCCCAGAGCCAGGGAGCUUUGGAAUGUUUUCAUCAAACUUUAAAAUCCUUGCUUCGUGCAUACUGUACAGAACUGUCUUGCAGAUUGGAAGGAGUUGUAAGUACCUCGGCGUACACAUCACAGACUGAAAUGGUCCACCCACACAGACAGUGGUGAAGAAGGCGCAACAGCG